UUGGCCAUCGGCUGAGAAGCACAGCGAUUGCUUGUGCUCAUUUGAUUCCCGAAAGAUUUUGGCCGCCGUGAACUGUUGCAAUGCCUCGCCGCUUAUCGCCAAUUACGAUUCACCAAGAUUCAAAAUGCUCUGACUGGGUUCAGAGUUGAGAACUCUCUUUCUCUCUGCUGGCUGCUGGUUGCUGGUUUGCUGGUUGCUGGUUGCUGGUUUGUUCGCAUUUCCACCGCGAAACGUCGUCAGACAGAAGCAGCAACACGAUGCGCGCCCAACUGACGGUGGAGCAUGAAAAUUUAUUACUUUUGUCGAGUCUCGUUCUGAGUGCGAUGCCGUUUUCAAGUCCGAAUCCAUUGCGCAUUAAAUUUGGUGGCGUCGGUGGCGUUGUUGGCGUUGUUGCUCUGGCAUUGGAUGGCGUCAUGGAUGCCAUCCAGCAUAAAACUGACAAAAGUUGAGUGUGCCAAGGCAAAAGUUUCGCUGGCGCCAUGGCAACAAUGUCCAAUACUCGGCAAAUAAAAAUUAUACGUACCGAAAAACAACAACGAAAAGUGAGAGCCACACAAGAGGAAUGCAACGCAUGGACUGAAGUGCAUAUGAUGGUGAUGCAGCAGUCUGUGUGUGCAAUAUUUAUAUUGCAUGUAUGUCUGUAUGUGUGUGUACCGACACUCUACAAAACAGAUUAAAGAACGGUGACGAUCAACCCGAGCACAUAUAACAAUUAAAACCAAAAGAGAC